AUUGAACGCUGGCGGCAGGCCUAACACAUGCAAGUCGAGCGGAUGAGAGGAGCUUGCUCUUUGAUUCAGCGGCGGACGGGUGAGUAAUGCCUAGGAAUCUGCCUGGUAGUGGGGGACAACGUUUCGAUAGGAACGCUAAUACCGCAUACGUCCUACGGGAGAAAGUGGGGGAUCUUCGGACCUCACGCUAUCAGAUGAGCCUAGGUCGGAUUAGCUAGUUGGUGAGGUAAUGGCUCACCAAGGCGACGAUCCGUAACUGGUCUGAGAGGAUGAUCAGUCACACUGGAACUGAGACACGGUCCAGACUCCUACGGGAGGCAGCAGUGGGGAAUAUUGGACAAUGGGCGCAAGCCUGAUCCAGCCAUGCCGCGUGUGUGAAGAAGGUCUUCGGAUUGUAAAGCACUUUAAGUUGGGAGGAAGGGCAGUAACUUAAUACGUUGCUGUGUUGACGUUACCGACAGAAUAAGCACCGGCUAACUCUGUGCCAGCAGCCGCCGUAAAAC
rnacentral:rRNA from 1 species